CCUACGGGAGGCAGCAGUGGGGGAUAUUGCACAAUGGCGGGAACCCUGAUGCAGCGACACCGCGUGGGUGAAGGAGCGUUUCGGCGCGUAAAGCCCUAUCGGCAGGGAAGCAGAAGGCCGGUACCUGACUAAGACGCCACGGCUAACUACGUGCCAGCAGCCGCGGUAAUACGUAGGGGGCAAGCGUUAUCCGGGUUUACUGGGUGUAAAGGGGGCGCAGACGGCAGCGCAAGCCAGGAGGGAAAGCCCGGGGCCCAACCCCGGGACUGCUCUUGGAACUGCGCGGCUGGAGUGCAGGAGGAGCAGGCGGAAUGCGUGGUGUAGCGGUGAAAUGCGUAGAUAUCAGGAGGAACACCGGUGGCGAAGGCGGCCUGCUGGACUGCGACUGACGUUGAGGCCCGAAAGCGUGGGGAGCAAACAGGAUUAGAUACCCGGGUAGUC
rnacentral:rRNA from 1 species